GACGAACGCUGGCGGCGUGCUUAACACAUGCAAGUCGAACGGAAAGGCCCUGCUUUUGUGGGGUGCUCGAGUGGCGAACGGGUGAGUAACACGUGGGUAACCUGCCCUUGACUUUGGGAUAACUUCAGGAAACUGGGGCUAAUACCGGAUAGGAGCUCUUGCUGCAUGGUGGGCUGUGGAAAGUUUCGGCGGGUGGGGAUGGACUUGCGGCUUAUCAGCUUGUUGGUGGGGUAGUGGCUUACCAAGGCUUUGACGGGUAGCCGGCCUGAGCGGGUGACCGGCCACAUUGGGACUGAGAUACGGCCCAGACUCCUACGGGAGGCAGGAGUGGGGAAUAUUGCACAGUGGGCGGGAGCCUGAUGCAGCAACGCCGCGUGCGGGAUGACGGCCUUCGGGUUGUAAGCCGCUUUCGCCUGUGACGAAGCGUGAGUGACGGUAAUGGGUAAAGAAGCACCGGCUAACUACGUG
rnacentral:rRNA from 1 species